UAUUAAAAAAUUUAUCCAUUUGUAUUGUUAAAAAUCGGUGUGACUGAUGGAAUAACCAUAUAGUGACAUAUGGUGUACCACAUGUACCUGAUGUUGAUAUACAAAGGCUACUUUUUAACAAUAGAAAUUGAUGAAAUUUUUAAUA
rfam:Gossypium raimondii Chr01_contig_1123, whole genome shotgun sequence.